CCUACGGGUGUCAGCAGUGAGGAAUAGUGGUCAAUGGGCGCGAGCCUGAACCAGCCAAGUCGCGUGAGGGAAGACGGUCCUAUGGAUUGUAAACCUCUUUUGUCGGGGAGCAAAAGACGCCACGCGUGGCGUUCCGAGAGUACCCGAAGAAAAAGCAUAGGCUAACUCCGUGCCAGCAGCCGCGGUAAUACGGAGGAUGCGAGCGUUAUCCGGAUGUAGUGGGUUUAAAGGGUGCGCAGGCGGAAGAUCAAGUCAGCGGUAAAAUUGACAGGCUCAACCUCUUCGGGCCGUUGAAACUGGUGUUCUUGAGUGAGCGAGACGUCUGCGGCAUUCGUUGUGUAGCGGUUACAUGCAUCGAUAUCCCGCAGAACUCCGAUUGCGAAGGCAGCAUACCGGCGCUCAACUGACGCUCAUGCACGACUGUGUGGGUAUCGAACAGGAUUAGCUACCCUGGUAGUC
rnacentral:rRNA from 1 species